rnacentral:rRNA from 1 species
CCUACGGGGGGCAGCAGUGAGGAAUAUUGGUCAAUGGACGCAAGUCUGAACCAGCCAAGCCGCGUGCAGGAAGACGGCUCUAUGAGUUGUAAACUGCUUUUGUACGAGGGUAAAAGCAGAUACGUGUACCUGUCUGAAAGUACCGUACGAAUAAGGAUCGGCUAACUCCGUGCCAGCAGCCGCGGUAAUACGGAGGAUGCAAGCGUUAUCCGGAUUUAUUGGGUUUAAAGGGUGCGUAGGCGGAUUGUUAAGUCAGUGGUAAAAUUUAGGGGCUCAACCCCUUCGCGCCGUUGAAACUGGCGGUCUUGAGUGGAAGAGAGGUAUGCGGAAUGCGUGGUGUAGCGGUGAAAUGCAUAGAUAUUACGCAGAACCCCGAUUGCGAAGGCAGCAUGCCGGCUUCCAACUGACGCUGAGGCACGAAAGCGUGGGGAUCGAACAGGAUUAGAUACCCGUGUAGUC